rnacentral:rRNA from 1 species
UACAGAGGGUGCGAGCGUUGUCCGGAAUCACUGGGCGUAAAGCGCGCGCAGGCGGUCCUUUAAGUCUGAUGUGAAAGCCCACGGCUCAACCGUGGAGGGUCAUUGGAAACUGGGGGACUUGAGUACAGAAGAGAAGAGUGGAAUUCCACGUGUAGCGGUGAAAUGCGUAGAUAUCGUAAGGAAGACCAGUGGCGAAGGCAGCUCUCUGGGUCCCUACCGACGCUGGGGUGCGAAAGCAUGGGGAGCGAACAGG